UUUGAUUUGGGUUUUGAUUUGGGUUUUGAUUUGAUUUGUGUUUUGUCUAUUUUUUGUGUUUUGUGUAUUGAAUUUAGGGUUUUGUGUAUUUUUGUGUUUUGUGAUAUGUUAAGAAUCCAUGUUAUGUUAAGAAUGAUGAUAUUGAAUGAUGUGUUUUGAUAUGUUUUGUGUAUUGAAUGAUGAUAUGUUAAGAAUCCAUGUUAAGAAAGGAGAUGAUAUGUUUGUAGAUGGCGGAUUUCAAUGAAUCCAUGUUACUUAUGAAUCCAUUGAAUCAAUAGUAUUGAAAUUUACUUAUAUUUAUGUGUUGUGUUUAUGUGUUGUGUUUUAUGUGUUGUGUUUUAUGAAUGAAAUGGCGGAUUUAUUUUGUCGUG
rnacentral:lncRNA from 1 species